rnacentral:lncRNA from 1 species
CCUGGGUGUGUAUCUCCCUGUCCACUGCUCUCGCCCAGGGGUUGAUCUUGUGUCUGCCUUCACAGACCUUUCUCCCUAUUCUCUCUUCAGCUCCUCCUUCUAGCAACAAAAAGGCUAUAUGAUUUGGGAGCAGUUGACAUUAUUGGAGGCUCCACUCAUGCCUGCAUGAACCAGACAUACCCAUCCAAAACUUUUCAUCAUCCAGCCAUAAUGAUUCAUUCAAAAAAUUCCUCAAAGACUGGGCGCGGUGGCCCACCCCUGUAAUCCCAGCACUUUGGGAGGCCAAGGCGGGCGAAUCACCUGAAGUCAUGAGUUUGAGACCAGCCUGGCCAACAUGGCAAAACCCCGUCUCUACUAAAAAUACAAAAAUUAGCUGGGUGUGGUGCCGGUUGCCUGUAAUCCCAGCUACUCAGGAGGCUGAGGCAGGAGAAUCACGUGAACCUGGGAGGCAGAGGUUGCAGUGUGCCGAGAUUGCGCCAUUGCACUCCAGCCUGGGCGACAAGACCAAAAACUGCAUCUAAAAAAAAAAAAAAAAAAUUCCUCCAAAAGAAUGAAUUACAGAACUUAGGCAGGAUUGUUCUAAAAGAGGAGUUCUUAUCCUGCUGGGAUUACUAACCAUGUACCCUGCAAGUGUGGAGCUG